rnacentral:tRNA from 1 species
GUUUCUGGGGUGUCUCUGCACGUUAGGUUUUCAUUCUAAAGGGGUGGUUUAUUCCACUAGAAAUG